GACGAACGCUGGCGGCGUGCCUAAUACAUGCAAGUAGAACGCUGAAGGAGGAGCUUGCUUCUCUGGAUGAGUUGCGAACGGGUGAGUAACGCGUAGGUAACCUGCCUGGUAGCGGGGGAUAACUAUUGGAAACGAUAGCUAAUACCGCAUAAUAGUAGAUGUUGCAUGACAUUUGCUUAAAAGGUGCAAUUGCAUCACUACCAGAUGGACCUGCGUUGUAUUAGCUAGUUGGUGAGGUAACGGCUCACCAAGGCAACGAUACAUAGCCGACCUGAGAGGGUGAUCGGCCACACUGGGACUGAGACACGGCCCAGACGCCUACGGGAGGCAGCAGUAGGGAAUCUUCGGCAAUGGACGGAAGUCUGACCGAGCAACGCCGCGUGAGUGAAGAAGGUUUUCGGAUCGUAAAGCUCUGUUGUAAGAGAAGAACGAGUGUGAGAGUGGAAAGUUCACACUGUGACGGUAUCUUACCAGAAAGGGACGGCUAACUACGUG
rnacentral:rRNA from 1 species